rnacentral:rRNA from 1 species
UACAGAGGGUGCGAGCGUUAAUCGGAAUUACUGGGCGUAAAGCGUGCGUAGACGGCUAUCUAAGUCGGGUGUGAAAGCCCCGGGCUCAACCUGGGAAUUGCAUUCGAGACUGAAUAGCUAGGGUACGGUAGAGGGAAGUGGAAUUUCCGGUGUAGCUGGUGGAAAUGCGUAGAUAUCGGAAGGAACAUCAGUGGCGAAAGCGACUUCCUGGACCAGUACCGACGUCAGGCACGAAAGCGUGGGGAGCAAACAGG